AACGAACGCUGGCGGCAGGCCUAACACAUGCAAGUCGAACGCAUCCUUCGGGGUGAGUGGCAGACGGGUGAGUAACGCGUGGGGACCUACCUUGUGGUACGGAACAACCAAGGGAAACUUUGGCUAAUACCGUAUGAGCCCGAGAGGGGAAAGAUUCAUCGCCAUGAGAUGGGCCCGCGUAGGAUUAGCUAGUUGGUGGGGUAAAGGCCUACCAAGGCGACGAUCCUUAGCUGGUCUGAGAGGAUGACCAGCCACACUGGGACUGAGACACGGCCCAGACUCCUACGGGAGGCAGCAGUGGGGAAUAUUGGACAAUGGGCGCAAGCCUGAUCCAGCCAUGCCGCGUGUGUGAUGAAGGCCUUAGGGUUGUAAAGCACUUUCGCCGAUGAAGAUAAUGACGGUAGUCGGAGAAGAAGCCCCGGCUAACUUCGUGCCAGCCGCCGCCGUAAGAC
rnacentral:rRNA from 1 species